UGAAAUGAGUAACGCUCUCAAAAAAUAAAACUAAGUGCAUGUCUGAUAGUGUCAUCCCAGAUUAACCUGUGCAGUCAGGAACAAUACUUUCAACCUAGACUGGGCUUUCAUUGAGAAGAAACUUCUUGUAAAAGUAAAAUCCCAUAAAAGCACAAAGAUUUGUCCAUGAUUAGCCCGGAGUGCACAGGCUAAUAUGGGAUUUACUCACAUGAAUUAAGCCCAAUCUUUAGAGCCCAGCUCAUAUGUUUGGAUAUAAAAGUUUGUUGAAUCUUUCCCGCUUAGAAACAUAGUUUGACGCAUUUGUAGUCACUUAAAAAUUAACAAAAAUGAAAGAACUCUCUCAGUCGAUUCAAUUUUAAAGGCUUCUUUUCCAAUCCUAAGAAACUUAUUUACGGUAAACAGCAUAAAACCUGAACACAGAACAGGCUGCGAGUUACUUGUUCUGGUUUAUUGUUUGUUGCAUAUAGCCAUUUUCACUUUGUUUCAGAUUGGGAAAGGUUAACAAUUAUUAGGAGUUCUGUGUUUUAUUUGUUGAACUCCCAACAUAUAUAGCUUGAGAGGAAAUAUAUUUGCACUUUGUCAAUCAGCUAUUUGGUCCAUCCUCAUAUAAUGUCAUAAAUUUGUUCAUUUCUUGCUAAGUUGGUAUAGUGCUUGACAACAAAUGCGAAGAUCACGUGUUUUAUUCCUUGCCCAGUCAUAAAACUUAUGACUGUGGUAAUUGGUCAUACAAACCUUUCUUCGUCCAUAAUGCCCUUAUAUCAGAUUCAUGUUGGGCAUUUGUCAGCUACUGGCAUAAUAAUGUUGUAUCCCCCAAAAAAGUGUGUUGCUUAACCGACUUCUAUGUAGUGACUGAAGUACUGUUGAAAAUAGUGAAAAGGCCAACUAAGCAAAGCGACAAACUUCCACAUUUCUCAUCUGUAUCAAUUAUUUUUAAAUAUGUGAUCACCAUGAAGUGUUCACUUGCAUGACACUUACAUUUGUGUCCAAUUUUCAUUCCAGUUAUUUGCCAUUGAACAUACCAGACAAAUUUGUGUGUUGGUAUGAGUUUCGUUUUAUUUCGGUUUAUUCUACAGUUCUUCAAAAUUUAAUAACUGGAAUACGCACCACGCUUGCUAAUUCAUAUGCUUAUUCAAGCAUGCCAAAUAUCUAAUUUUGAAAAGGACUACAUCAACAAUAUUUUAUUUAUUUCAAACUUGUCUUGUCGAAGUGAUGCUGUAAUAAGCAUUACUUAACCAACGCAAUAACUCAUGAGAAAUCCAGGAAGAUUUCAUCAUUCUUAAAAUUUCCUUGUAUUUCAUUAAAUCAUUGAUGGGCUGUGGGUUUCUGAACAAGUGCUUUAAAGUACAUGUUCUUGAUUGUAUUUAUCAAAAGAAACAAGUUAUUUUUAUUAUGCCUCCGAAGGAGGGCAUUUAGUGAUCGGACCGUCCGUCCUUCCGUCACACUUGCAUUUAUGUCCUUCCGUCACACUUGCAUUUAGGUUUCGCAUUUAGGUUUUGAAAAAUGCUCAUAACUUCUAUGUCCCUUCACAUAGCAACUUGAUAUUUGGCAUGCAUGUGUAUCUCAUGGAGCUGCACAUUUUGAGUGGUGAAAGGUCAAGGUCAUCCUUCACAAGGUCAAGGUCAUCCUACAAUGUCAAACAUCAUAUAGGGGGACAUUGUGUUUCACAAACGCAUCUUGUUUUCUUUGAAUAUGCUUACAAAAAUCAAGGCUUAUCAUGUAUGUAUUUCUUUGUUAUAAGCAGGAUAUUAUGAACACGAAUUGCUUGGACUACAUGUAUUUUGGCAGUUUUUAAAUUAAGUUCACAAUGAAUUAAUUGAUUAAAUUGAUAUUGUUUUUAGAAAUUAUUCAUUUAAGUAACUUUUAUUAAAAUAACAGGUACUGGUAGACAUACCAGCUGGUUGUGCUCAAGGUUGAUGUGUUCUGUUUUUAUCUACAGUAUACUACAGAAUUCUGACCUUUUUUUCAGGGAAGUUUUGAAAACAGUAUUGAUUUUUUACUGUUAAUGUUAUUGUUUUUCGCAAAAAAUAUUAUAUCGUGAAGUAAUCAUUAUAUGACUCCUCAUAUCUUCCCUUGGGUGGAAAUCAAGACCUCUCAAUCAAAAGAUUAUUGCCUUACAUUUUAGCAAACACCAAAAAACACUGUAAAUUGUUUAAGCACUUCUGUUACAAUCUAGUUGAUGUAUUCCUCAACAAAGGAUCACUCAUUUACAAAACUGUAGUUUUAAGUUUUAAUUAUAUGUAUAGUAUUUGUUCUGUUUCCACAGUAUGUCACUCAUUUGACGAUAUGUGAACAUGUCAGUUGUAAAUUGGAAUAAUAUGAAGCAGUCAGUUUUGUUAUUGUAAACACAUUCCAGAAUGAAUGUCUGUGUAGACAUAGAGCAUAUUGUCUGUUGUAUUCUGCAACAGUCCAUUUAUUACAUUACUUCUUGAUUUGUCAGGACUGCAUAUUUUUUAACAACACAUAGGAGCAGCAUCAUGCGAAAAUGGUUGUUAUUCCAUAUGCGGCAAACACAGCUGCAAACAGUUUGUAAAUUUACGCAGUCUGGUCUGAAGCUAAGCUGUCAGUUAUUCCGACCAUGAAACAUUGUUUGUGUUACUUUUAAGGGGAUUGAGAAGUUUCUGACCAGAAUGUGCAUUUUACCCAUUUUCACAAUGACUCGGCUCAUACUAGAUCUGUGCAAUCUAUAUCACUGUAAUUUUUCUUUGUUUUUUCUUAGAGGAUUGUGUCAUCGUUAUUUCUAGUAGAGUACUUAUGAUCUAUUUAUUGACUUACAUAAUCAUAAGAGAUCUAUUUAUUGACUUACAUAAUCAUAAGAGAACAAUCACUUUGAUCUUCAGGUAAGUACUCAAGCAAAAAUUGCAUCAAAUAGAUUACACAUAUUUUCAACAGCCUUUAGUUAUCAUUAAAUUGCUUUUAUUAAUUGUUCAAAGUUUACUUACCAUCCACAUUAGAAUAUGAUACCAAAGAAAGAACGGGACAUUAACAGGAGAAUAUCAAAAGAGCCUACUGCUUAUUAUAUUAUUGAAUAAUGUAUCAUGUAUGUGAGUGCAUCUCAGAUUUUACUUGUAUUUCACUCUACUUUUUUUAAUACUUUAGACUUGUUUAGGCUUUUACCAAAAGAUAUUACAGUUCAAUCAUUCCAUGUAUUUUCUUGCAGGGAUGUAUGUUGUUAUUGCAUGUCGAAUAGUUAAAAUAUUUUAUAUAAUAAUCGUCUUUUUAAGCUUUAUUGCUGUUAAAUUCUUGAAAAAAACUUUUGUAUCUUAAAUGAGCCAAUAAAUACAACUAAUGUU